UCAGUGAGCAUCCAAGGUCACUCAGGAGUCAAGGGCAGGGCCCAGGCCGGGAACCCAGUGACCUCACGCCAUGCAGCCUGCCUGCAAGCCCGUGUCCUGGACAGCUGGCCUCAACCCCACAGCAAUGCAGAGCCCUGGGUGUGCCAGGCCCAGGGCUGGAAGGAAGAAAGGCCCCCCCGUCCGGAAUAAUGGCUCUUGACAGAAACGACUCCCGCUAGCAAUUAGCCGUGAGGAGUGCAGAACUCGGCUGCAGAAGUAGAGGAAGCUCGCCUGGAGAGGGUGGGCGACAAUCGCA
rnacentral:lncRNA from 1 species